UUAUUAGUUUUGGUCAAACUUUAAUCACUUGAUGUUUGUUAUUAGUGGCUGAUGUCAUUAGCUCUAUGUGCUGUUUAAACCUACAGAUGUGUCUCCUGCCGUGGACAGUUCUGGUCUUCCUGCUGUCUGCUGGAGCCUGUAAUGCGGAUGUGAACUUAAAUUGGCUGACUCAAAUUGUAGACCAAGUCACAUUACAUUGUAACAUCAGGGGCCAGUUUAGUCUGGCAAUGACUAUCCCAAAGAAUCUAUCCCCAGCGAACCUGAUUACAAUUCUUGACAAUACACAAAACAUACACAAUGCCCUAAGGAACAACAACCUGUACAUAAGUCAGAGGAUGAUUGUUGCCACAGUUGGUGGAAAUCAUGCAGAAGUACAAGUUUUGAACAACUUGUCAGAGUUACCAUUCAACAGCAAUGACUUCCUGCUCUUCUACACAUAUCUCUCUCCAUGUGCAAGACAAUGUGCAAACCCAAAUGAUAAUAGAAAUAUUCUUGGGAUAAUUAAUAACAUGAGAGCAUGGACAGAUUAUGCCCUUGUGUUUCAGAAACCAUACAGUGAUCCUAGGGGCCAAAACCCUGUUACCCAAGUAGAGCUAACUAAUGCUCUGAGAGAAAUUGGGUCACAGAUUGGAAAUGGAAACAUUUUCCGCUGUUACAGACCAGCUGGCAGUCGGUAUAGCUGCUUCAGAUGUUUCCAAGAUCAAAAUGGUCAAAAUGUUGCUCCUCAGUGCAUUGAGAUCACAACCCGUCAGCCGACUGGAAACAGAAAUAUGGGUUAGUGCAGCUCUGAGAACCACAGUGAUUCAGGGAAACUCAGCUCUUAAUAAAGACAGUUUGAUGGGAUCCUUCAAAGAUGUGAAACUACAACUAAGUCCAGGCAACAAACUUACCCUAGUUAGCUGGGCUGGAGGAUUCUGAUGAGGAUCAGAGGACAUAACAAACUGUCUUUAUGAAGGUCUGACAGAAUCUGAGUGUAUUUCCAUGACCUGCAAGCAGUCUGUGACCAAGAUCACUGAAGCUGUUCUUUUUCUCUCACUCAUUCUUCUUGUUAAAAAUCAUCUGGGUUUGUUUGAUUUCAUCACCUGAUCAGCUGAAACAUUGUAUUGAUGAGACCAGUAUCUGUAUCUUACAGUGUAGCUACAGGUGAUUAGCUUAGUUCAAACACACAGAUAUAAACAGGAAGUCCAAGGGAUUUGGUUUGUAGCUGCUUUUAAUUGAAAUAAUGUAAAACAUAAUUUACUCUUUCUUCUUUCCUGCUCAUGUAUUCUGAAUUAAACUCUUCUCAGCAUCAGCUGCUCUGUCUGGGUUUUAUUGUCAUUUCAGGGUCAGACACAAGGAGCACUUAUGGCCAACGCAUUAACUUUACUCGUAAGAGUAAAGGACUGUCAA
rnacentral:lncRNA from 1 species